AUCCAGACUCCUACGGGAGGCAGCAGUGGGGAAUAUUGCACAAUGGGGGAAACCCUGAUGCAGCGACGCCGCGUGAGCGAUGAAGUAUUUCGGUAUGUAAAGCUCUAUCAGCAGGGAAGAAGAUGACGGUACCUGACUAAGAAGCCCCGGCUAACUACGUGCCAGCAGCCGCGGUAAUACGUAGGGGGCAAGCGUUAUCCGGAUUUACUGGGUGUAAAGGGAGCGUAGACGGCGAUGCAAGCCAGAUGUGAAAGCCCGGGGCUCAACCCCGGGACUGCAUUUGGAACUGUGUGGCUGGAGUGUCGGAGAGGCAGGCGGAAUUCCUAGUGUAGCGGUGAAAUGCGUAGAUAUUAGGAGGAACACCAGUGGCGAAGGCGGCCUGCUGGACGAUGACUGACGUUGAGGCUCGAAAGCGUGGGGAGCAAACAGGAUUAGAUACCCCCGUA
rnacentral:rRNA from 1 species